GGCGGACGGGUGAGUAACGCGUAAGAACUUGCCCUUUAGACUGGGAUAACAGAGGGAAACUUCUGAUAAUACUGGAUAAGUUAGUAUAUCGCAUGAUAUGCAAAUGAAAGCUACGGCACUAAAGGAGAGCUUUGCGUUCUAUUAGCUAGUUGGUAAGGUAAGAGCUUACCAAGGCGAUGAUAGGUAGCCGGCCUGAGAGGGUGGACGGCCACAAGGGGACUGAGAUACGGCCCUUACUCCUACGGGAGGCAGCAGCC
rnacentral:rRNA from 1 species